rnacentral:rRNA from 1 species
GGUUCGAUUAUACUAUCAGAACGCUGGCGGGAUGCUUUAAGAUGGCAAGUCAACGGCAGCACGGACUAUGGUCUGGUGGCGAGUGGCGAACGGGUGAGUAAUGUAUCGGAACGUGCCUAGUAGCGGGGGAUAACUACGCGCGCUAAUACCGCAUACGCCCUUCGGGGAAAGCGGGGGGACCUUCGGGCCUCGCACUAUUAGAGCGGCCGAUAUCGGAUUAGCUGUGUUGGUGCACCGGCUCACCAGGGCGACACGAUCCGUAGCUGGUUGAGACGACCAGCCACACACUGGGACUGAGACAGCUCAGACUUUACGGGAGGCAGCAGGGGGGAAUUUUGGACAAUGGGGAAACUCCGAUCCGUUUAUCCCGCGGUGUGCGAUGAAGGCCUUCGGGCUGUAAAGAAUUUUUGGCAGGAAGAAACGACACGACGUGGAUAAUACCUUCGUGCAACUGACGGUACUUGCAGAACAAGCAUCACAACUACGCGCCAGCAGCCGCGGUAAUGUAGGGUGCAAGCGUUAAUCGGAAUUACUGGGCGAAGCGUGCGCAGGCGUUCGAAAGAAAGAUGUGAAAUCCCAGAGCUUAACUUUGAACCGCAUUUUUAACUAAUGAGCUAGGAGUGUGUCAGGAGGGAGGUGGAAUUCAGCAGUGAAAUGCGUAGAUAUGCGGAGGAACACCGAUGGCGAAGGCAGCCUCCUGGGAUAACACUGACGCUCAUGCACGAAAGCGUGGGGAGCAAACAGGAUUAGAUACCCUGGUAGUCCACGCCCUAAACGAUGUCAACUAGCUGCGAAGCCUUCGGGCCUUGGCGUGCCAACGCGUGAAGUUGACCGCCCGGGGGUACGGUCGCAAGAUUAAAAACUCAAAGGAAUUGACGGGGACUCGCACAAGCGGUGGAUGAUGUGGAUUAAUUCGAUGCAACGCGAAAACCUUACCUACCCUUGACAUGUCUGGAAACCUGAAGAGAUUUGGGAGUGCUCGCAAGAGAACCGGAACACAGGUGCUGCAUGGCUGUCGUCAGCUCGUGUCGUGAGAUGUUGGGUUAAGUCCCGCAACGAGCGCAACCCUUGUCAUUAGUUGCUACGAAAGGGCACUCUAAUGAGACUGCCGUAGACAAACCGAGGAAGGUGGGGAUGACGUCAAAGCCCUUGGCGGUCCUUGUGGGUAGGGCUUCACACGCCAUACAAUGGUCGGGACAGAGGGUCGCCAACUCGGCGAGGGAGCUAAUCCCCAGAAACCCGACUGGGGAAGGUCCGAUCGCAGUCUGCAACUCGACUGCGUGAAGUCGGACCGCUAGUAAUUCCAGAUCAGCAUGUCGCGGUGAAUACGUUCCUGGUCUUGUACACACUAGCCCGUCACACCAUGGGAGUGGGUUUUACCAGGAAGUAGUUAGCCUAACCUGUAAGAGGGCGAUUACCACGGUAGGAUUCAUGACUGGGGUGAAGUCGUAACAAGGUAA